UCGUAACAAGGUUUCCGUAGGUGAACCUGCGGAAGGAUCAUUACCGAGUGAGGGCCCUCUGGGUCCAACCUCCCACCCGUGUCUAUCGUACCUUGUUGCUUCGGCGGGCCCGCCGUUUCGACGGCCGCCGGGGAGGCCUCGCGCCCCCGGGCCCGCGCCCGCCGAAGACCCCAACAUGAACUCUGUUCUGAAAGUAUGCAGUCUGAGUUGAUUAUCAUAAUCAGUUAAAACUUUCAACAACGGAUCUCUUGGUUCCGGCAUCGAUGAAGAACGCAGCGAAAUGCGAUAAGUAAUGUGAAUUGCAGAAUUCAGUGAAUCAUCGAGUCUUUGAACGCACAUUGCGCCCCCUGGUAUUCCGGGGGGCAUGCCUGUCCGAGCGUCAUUGCUGCCCUCAAGCACGGCUUGUGUGUUGGGCCCCCGUCCCCGGUUUCCCCCGGGGACGGGCCCGAAAGGCAGCGGCGGCACCGCGUCCGGUCCUCGAGCGUAUGGGGCUUUGUCACCCGCUCUGUAGGCCCGGCCGGCGCCAGCCGACACCCAACUUUAUUUCUAAGGUUGACCUCGGAUCAGGUAGGGAUACCCGCUGAACUUAAGCAUAUCAAUAA
rnacentral:misc_RNA from 1 species